rnacentral:rRNA from 1 species
GUCCACGCCGUAAACGAUGUCGAUUUGGAGGCUGUGUCCUUGAGACGUGGCUUCCGGAGCUAACGCGUUAAAUCGACCGCCUGGGGAGUACGGCCGCAAGGUUAAAACUCAAAUGAAUUGACGGGGCCCGCACAAGCGGUGGAGCAUGUGGUUUAAUUCGACGCAACGCGAAGAACCUUACCAGGGCUUGACAUUGAGUGAAAGGCUAAGAGAUUAGUCCCUCUUCUUCGGAAGACACAAAAACAGGUGGUGCAUGGCUGUCGU